GAUGAACGCUGGCGGCGUGCCUAAUACAUGCAAGUCGAGCGAACGGACGAGAAGCUUGCUUCUCUGAUGUUAGCGGCGGACGGGUGAGUAACACGUGGAUAACCUACCUAUAAGACUGGGAUAACUUCGGGAAACCGGAGCUAAUACCGGAUAAUAUUUUGAACCGCAUGGUUCAAAAGUGAAAGACGGUCUUGCUGUCACUUAUAGAUGGAUCCGCGCUGCAUUAGCUAGUUGGUAAGGUAACGGCUUACCAAGGCAACGAUGCAUAGCCGACCUGAGAGGGUGAUCGGCCACACUGGAACUGAGACACGGUCCAGACUCCUACGGGAGGCAGCAGUAGGGAAUCUUCCACAAUGGGCGAAAGCCUGACGGAGCAACGCCGCGUGAGUGAUGAAGGUCUUCGGAUCGUAAAACUCUGUUAUUAGGGAAGAACAUAUGUGUAAGUAACUGUGCACAUCUUGACGGUACCUAAUCAGAAAGCCACGGCUAACUACGUG
rnacentral:rRNA from 1 species